UGCAGGGUCGACUCGGCGAUGCAAGGCGAGUUCUGAACAAAACUUCUGAUUCUUUAGAAGAAGCUCAGCUAAGACUCGCCGAUAUCAAAGAAGCCGCCGGCCUACCGGAACACUGCAACGACGACAUAGUUGAAGUACCCAAACGCCCUAAAGGCGACAACGUAUGGCGGGAAUUGAUCUUCUCACCAACGCCGGCCGUCCGUCACAUACUACUCACCGGCGUCGGAAUUCAUUUUUUUCAGCAAGCAAGUGGAAUCGACGCCGUCGUUUUGUAUAGUCCGAGAAUUUUUGAAAAAGCAGGGAUUAAAUCCGAUCACGACAAGUUGCUCGCCACUGUAGCCGUUGGAUUUGUUAAAACAAUUUUCAUACUUGUAGCCACAUUCAUGCUCGACAAAUCCGGCCGGCGGCCGUUGCUGUUAACCAGUGUCGCCGGAAUGGUGCUGUCGUUGAUGCUACUCGCCACCGGCCUUACAAUCAUUGACCAA
rnacentral:lncRNA from 1 species